UGGGGAACAUGACCUUCGGCGGGGGAUAGCCGGCCCAACGGCCGGGUAAUACCGCGUACGACCACAUGGGGACAUCCCUGAGUGGUGAAAGCAGCAAUGCGCCGAUGGAGUGCCUCGCGGCCUAUCAGCUAGUUGGUGAGGUAACGGCUCACCAAGGCGACGACGGGUAGCUGGUCUGAGAGGAUGGCCAGCCACAUCGGGACUGAGACACGGCCCAGACUCCGUAGGA
rnacentral:rRNA from 1 species